AUUGAACGCUGGCGGCAGGCCUAACACAUGCAAGUCGAACGAGUGGCGGACGGGUGAGUAAUGUAUGUGAAACUGCCUGGUGGAGGGGGAUAACUAAUGGAAACGGUAGCUAAUUCCGCCUCCCAUCAGAUGUGUCCAGAUGGGAUUAGCUUGUUGGUGGGGUAUCGGCUCACCAAGGCGACGAUCCCUAGCUGGUCUGAGAGGAUGACCAGCCACACUGGAACUGAGACACGGUCCAGACUCCUACGGGAGGCAGCAGUGGGGAAUAUUGCACAAUGGGCGCAAGCCUGAUGCAGCCAUGCCGCGUGUAUGAAGAAGGCCUUCGGGUUGUAAAGUACUUUCAGCGGGGAGGCGUUACCCGCAGAAGAAGCACCGGCUAACUCCGUGCCAGCAGCCGCGGUAAUUC
rnacentral:rRNA from 1 species